rnacentral:rRNA from 1 species
GAAAGUAGGAAAGGGCGCAUGGCGGAUGCCUUGGCUCUCGGAGGCGAUGAAGGACGUGAUAAGCUGCGAUAAGUCACGGGGAGGUGCAAAUAACCUUUGAUCCGUGAAUCUCCGAAUGGGACAACCCGAUAUCCUGAAGGGAUAUCACCUCAUCUAGUUGAGGAGCUAACGCAGGGAACUGAAACAUCUUAGUACCUGCAGGAAAAGAAAAUAACAAUGAUUCCCCCAGUAGUGGCGAGCGAACGGGGAAUAGCCCAAACCAUUCAUGUUACGGCAUGGAUGGGGUUGUAGGACCACGGCGUUGCAAGAGAUCUUGUGAGAAGAACAGCCUGGAAAGACUGACCAGAGACGGUGACAGUCCGGUAUUCGAAGCAAGACGAAGCAUAGUGGUAUCCUGAGUAGCGCGGAACACGAGGAAUUCUGCGUGAAUCUGCCGGGACCAUCCGGUAAGGCUAAAUACUCCCGAGAGACCGAUAGUGGACCAGUACCGUGAGGGAAAGGUGAAAAGCACUUCGAACAGAAGAGUGAAAGAGUACCUGAAACCGUGCGCCUACAAGCGGUCGGAGCACGAAAGUGUGACGGCGUGCCUUUUGCAUAAUGAACCUACGAGUUACCGUAUCUGGCAAGGUUAAGGGUCACGAGACCUGCAGCCGAAGCGAAAGCGAGUCUGAAGAGGGCGUCGAGUCAGUUGCGGUAGACGCGAAACCAAGUGAUCUACCCUUGGCCAGGAUGAAGUCUGGGUAACACCAGAUGGAGGUCCGCACCAAUAAGCGUUGAAAAGCUUCUGGAUGAGCUGAGGGUAGGGGUGAAAGGCUAAUCAAACUUGGAGAUAGCUCGUACUCCCCGAAAUGCAUUUAGGUGCAGCCUUGCGGGUUACUGAUGUGAGGUAGAGCGACUGAUUGGAUGCGAGGGCUUCACCGCCUAUCAAGUCCUGACAAACUCCGAAUGCGCAUCAGUUCUACCGCAGGAGUGAGGGCAUGGGUGCUAAGGUCCGUGCCCGAGAGGAGAAGAAUCCGGACCACCGGCUAAGGUCCCGAAAUGACAGCUAAGUUAAACUAACGAAGUCUGAUUGCUAAGACAGCUAGGAUGUUGGCUUGGAAGCAGCCAUUCAUUUAAAGAGUGCGUAACAGCUCACUAGUCGAGGAAUCGGGCGUGGAUAAUAAUCGGGUAUUAAGUUGUCUGCCGAAGCUAUAGAAUCAGCAAUGAUUGGUAGGGGAGCAUUCCAUUCUGCGUUGAAGGCGUGGCGUGAGCCAUUCUGGAGCGUAUGGAAAAGCAAAUGUAGGUAUAAGUAACGAUAAAGGGGGUGAGAAACCCCCUCGCCGAAAGACUAAGGUUUCCUGAUCAACGCUAAUCGGAUCAGGGUCAGUCGGGUCCUAAGGCUCAGCCGAACGGCGAGGCCGAUGGCAGAAACGGUUAAUAUUCCGUUACUACCUUUGAGGGUGACGUGGGGAAGCAGUAGUGACACUGCCGCGGGCUGACGGAAUAGCCCGUUAAAGAGUGUAGGCGUCGAUUUCCGCAGGCAAAUCCACGGAAAGAGCCGAACUUGACAGUAUGGAGCGUCCUUCGGGACAAUCCAACAGCGCAGGUAAUCAGACUGCCGAGAAAAUCCGCUAAACAUAACUUCAGAGGUACCCGUACCGCAAACGGACACACGUAGUCGGGUUGAAUAUACUAAGGCGCUUGAGUGAAUCACGGUUAAGGAACUAGGCAAACUGACCCUGUAACUUCGGGAUAAAGGGUCCCUACCCAGAAAUGGGAGGGCGCAGAGAAUAGGUCCAGGCAACUGUUUAACAAAAACACAGGGCUGUGCCAAUAUGAAAGUAGACGUAUACAGCCUGACACCUGCCCGGUGCUGGAAGGUUAAGAGGAGAUGUCAUCGCAAGAGAAGCAUUGAAUUGAAGCCCCAGUAAACGGCGGCCGUAACUAUAACGGUCCUAAGGUAGCGAAAUUCCUUGUCGGGUAAGUUC